GCCUGGGUGGCUCAGUUGGUUGAGUGUCUGACUUUGGCUCAUGAUUCGUGGGUUCGAGCCCCACGUCAGGCU